rnacentral:tRNA from 1 species
UGGUUUUUAGCUCAAUUGGUAAGAGCAACUGACUUAUAAUCAGUAGGUUAAGGGUUCGAGUCCCUUAAGACUUCCCA